rnacentral:misc_RNA from 1 species
CUACACCCUCAAGCCCCGCUUGGCUGGUUGGGCCGGCGUCCACCCACGGCCUUUGUGCCCCGGGGGGGACGGGCCCGAAAGGUAGUGGCGGCUCCCGGAGGGUGGUCCUUUGGGGCGGUGAUACAUGGGUUGUCGUCUUCCGCCGCUCCGUUGGCCGCGCUCCGGGUGCCCGUCGAACGAUUGGUCUUCCCCUUUAGG